rnacentral:misc_RNA from 1 species
AAAUCUCACCAAGGUUGGGCUUUUCGGAGCACAGCUUUUUGAGUGGAUUUGGAUGCUUUGUUUCGACAAUCAUCUUAAAAUGAUAGUGUGUGCAUCCAUCGAACAUUCGAUGGGUUACCAAAGUGCAACAGAUUUUUCUAUUUCGCUUUGGGAGCUUAUUGAAUUGGAUGGGAGCAUAUACCCAACUUCUUAACAAAUGUCUUGCCCUUGGGUGAAAUAUUUGAUA